AAGUCGUAACAAGGUUUUGUUAAAGAGAUCCUUCUUUGAAGCCUUCUACACAACGACUGUAACCAUGUGUAUAGUCCAGAUCCGGUUUGAUCUAGGCGACGUCACCCCUGUGCUGGAACCCUACCAUUUCUGUGGGGGACCAGCAGCCAGUCCUCUGGCUCACAGAUUAGGUGGUGGCGGUCCCAAGCUUUGAUGCUGGGAUCAAGAUAUAAUCGGUCUCCAUAGCUAUAACUGUGGUUGAGAAACGUUCCGUAGGUGAACCUGCGGAAGGAUCAUUAUCGAGUUAGGGUCCUCUGGGCC
rnacentral:misc_RNA from 1 species